CAGUAGCCGCGGGAAUACGUAGGUGGCAAGCGUUGUCCGGAAUUAUUGGGCGUAAAGCGCGCGCAGGCGGUUUCUUAAGUCUGAUGUGAAAGCCCCCGGCUUAACCGGGGAGGGUCAUUGGAAACUGGGAGACUUAGAGUGCAGAAGAGGAGAGUGGAAUUCCAUGUGUAGCGGUGAAAUGCGUAGAUAUAUGGAGGAACACCAGUGGCGAAGGCGACUCUCUGGUCUGUAACUGACGCUGAGGAGCGAAAGCGUGGGGAGCGAACAGGAUUAGAUACCCCCGUAGUCCCUGUCUCUUAUA
rnacentral:rRNA from 1 species